rnacentral:rRNA from 1 species
GACAGAGGCCCCAAGCGUUAGGCGGAAUCACUGGGCUUAAAGCGUGUGUAGGCGGAUCGUUAAGUGCCUUGUGAAAUCCCACGGCUUAACCGUGGAACUGCUUGGCAUACUGGCGAUCUUGAGCAACCUAGGGGCGAGCGGAACAAAUGGUGGAGCGGUGAAAUGCGUAGAUAUCAUUUGGAACGCCAAUGGUGAAAACAGCUCGCUGGGGGUUUGCUGACGCUGAGACGACGGAAAGCCAGGGGAGCAAAGCGGG